AAGCACGGGUGAGUAACGCGUAUCCGACCUUCCGGCGGCUCGGGUCCAGCCUUUCGAAAGAAAGAUUAAUCCCCGAUGGUGUCAGGCAGUUCCAUGACAGCCUGACUAAAGAAUUAUCGGCCGCCGAUGGGGAUGCGUUCCAUUAGCUUGUUGGCGGGGUAACGGCCCACCAAGGCGACGAUGGAUAGGGGUUCUGAGAGGAAGGCCCCCCACAUUGGGACUGAGACACGGCCCAAACUCCUACGGGAGGCAGCAGUGAGGAAUAUUGGUCAAUGGGCGCGAGCCUGAAACCAGCCAAGUAGCGUGGAGGAUGACUGCCCUACGGGUUGUAAACUCCUUUUGCAGGGGGAUAAAGUGUGCCACGUGUGGCAUAUUGCAGGUACCCUGCGAAUAAGCAUCGGCUAACUCCGUGCCAGCAGCCGCGGUAAUACGGAGGAUGCGAGCGUUAUCCGGAUUUAUUGGGUUUAAAGGGAGCGCAGACGGCCCCUUAAGUCAGCUGUGAAAGUUUGCGGCUCAACCGUAAAAUUGCAGUUGAAACUGUGGGGCUUGAGUACGGUCGCGGCAUGCGGAAUUCGUGGUGUAGCGGUGAAAUGCAWAGAUAUCACGAAGAACCCCGAUUGCGAAGGCAGCAUKCCAGCCCGCCACUGACGUUGAGGCUCGAAGGUGCGGGUAUCAAACAGGAUUAGAUACCCUGGUAGUCCGCACGGUAAACGAUGGGCACUCGCUGUCGGCGACAUACGGCCGGCGGCUUAGCGAAAGCGUUAAGUGCCCCACCUGGGGAGUACGCCGGCAACGGUGAAACUCAAAGGAAUUGACGGGGGCCCGCACAAGCGGAGGAACAUGUGGUUUAAUUCGAUGACACGCGAGGAACCUUACCCGGGCUUGAACUGUGCCUGAAUCCAGAGGAAACUCUGGAGCCAGCAAUGGCAGGCAUGGAGGUGCUGCAUGGUUGUCGUCAGCUCGUGCCGUGAGGUGUCGGCUUAAGUGCCAUAACGAGCGCAACCCCUUCGGCCAGUUUGCCAUCAGGUGGUGCUGGGGACUCUGGCCGUACUG
rnacentral:rRNA from 1 species